UACGAAGGGGGCUAGCGUUGCUCGGAAUUACUGGGCGUAAAGGGCGCGUAGGCGGACAGUUAAGUCAGAGGUGAAAGCCCAGGGCUCAACCCUGGAAUUGCCUUUGAUACUGGCUGUCUUGAGUAUGGGAGAGGUGAGUGGAACUCCGAGUGUAGAGGUGAAAUUCGUAGAUAUUCGCAAGAACACCAGUGGCGAAGGCGGCUCACUGGCCCGAUACUGACGCUGAGGCACGAAAGCGUGGGGAGCAAACAGG
rnacentral:rRNA from 1 species